AAAAAAAGUAGUAAAACGCCUGCAUGUAAUGAAGGGGCAUGUAAAAAAAUAUAUGUGAUAUUACAUAGCUUUUGCAGUACUCCCCUACGCUAUUUUUCCUAACACCAUUUACACCCAAUUUGUGUAAUAUUAACAGCUUAUUCCUUUAGAGUGUUGUUUGUUUGCCAAAUGUCAAAAUCAGUCAGUUUUCGUUUUCGCGCACACACGACAACUGCUCCGUUUUCAGCAGCAUCGGUUCCGAACGUUCCGAAACACCUCCGCAGGUGUUGAACCUGUUGCAGCAGCUGGACUUUGUCUCGGGUGGACGUCCAACUCCAUCUCAAGUUGAACCGGCGGCAUUUUGCACGGCGGAAGUAAAAAAAGUGAAGGCGUUUCCAAUUCCGAUUCGGGAAGUGGCAGCAGUAGCAUUGAGCAAAACUUUGGCGGCAGGAAAAACGGCCACCACCACCUUCGACCUCGAGCAUCUGCAGCGUCACCGGAAAUGCCAGAAUUUCACACAAAUAGCACACACGGAUGACCUCGCGUGCUCCCGCCGUUGGAACCGGGUGGAGAUGGCACUGGCGGUGUUGAUGAUAGCAAGGACAAGUUUGAGGAAAAGAUCAAAGUUUGACACGACUGUCAGCAGCUGCGGAAAGACUAUCUAGAAGUGAACAGGUUGACAUGGACGUCGCGCGUGCCGGAUUGUUUCCAGCAGAUUCCGCGUCGAAAAGUGCUGAAUCCACAUCUGCCUAGUGAGGAACGUUCAAGCAAUCAGAAGACCUUCAAGCAAGCUGCACGAUUGCUUGCUUAGUUUGAAUACUGGCAGACAGGAGCAGGCCAGCACCGUUGGUUCACGUGUCGCAGAUCUGCGCCGGAAAGGGCUCGGACAGAGUUCUGCUGUUGCACAAUGGCGAUCUAACCGAUGUUCAAGAACUGCGUGGACGCGAUUUGUGAUCCGAGCAGGCUGGAUUUUCCCUCGAUCAAGUACAUUGCUACGGCAUCGCUGCAAUCGAUGUCGGUCAUCUCGGAACACACCGAUGAAAACCGGGACAUCAUUCAUGCUAAAGUGAUUCCGAAGAAUCUAGAUCGACACUAUCAACAGCAGCUCCAGCUUUAACUCCGGAGGACUGGAGAACAUCAACGUGAUCACCAACACCAUGGUGGAAAAUCGUCUGGAAGUUAUGAAACAUCGGGAGGAACACCCUCCGGAGUCGAAGACGAUGACAGCAUGAAUGACCUAAACGCGCUUCGGAAAUCCUUUAACAAGGCAUUCAUCUCGGACUAGAACAAACUAAGUGCGAAUCGUACAACUCCUGUGCGAAUGUCCCGAUCUUGAAAACGAAAGACGACCAAGGACAAACAUCGUCCAUGUUGGCCGUCUCGUGUCGAUCCUACCGUCUUCGUGCUCAAAACGAUCCUCGAAAGCACUUACAAAACGAUAAUUUAACGACUAAGUAACUAAAGAUUAGUAGUAUUCUAGUUAAAUAAUGCAAUAAAAUACUUUAUCGAACAA